AGGACCGCCGUAAUGAUUAAUAGGGACAGUCGGGGGCAUCAGUAUUCAAUUGUCAGAGGUGAAAUUCUUGGAUUUAUUGAAGACUAACUACUGCGAAAGCAUUUGCCAAGGAUGUUUUCAUUAAUCAGGAACGAAAGUUAGGGGAUCGAAGACGAUCAGAUACCGUCGUAGUCUUAACCAUAAACUAUGCCGACUAGGGAUCGGACGAUGUUAUUUUUUGACGCGUUCGGCACCUUACGAGAAAUCAAAGUGCUUGGGCUCCAGGGGGAGUAUGGUCGCAAGGCUGAAACUUAAAGAAAUUGACGGAAGGGCACCACCAGGGGUGGAGCCUGCGGCUUAAUUUGACUCAACACGGGGAAACUCACCAGGUCCAGACACAAUGAGGAUUGACAGAUUGAGAGCUCUUUCUUGAUUUUGUGGGUGGUGGUGCAUGGCCGUUCUUAGUUGGUGGAGUGAUUUGUCUGCUUAAUUGCGAUAACGAACGAGACCUUAACCUGCUAAAUAGCCCGUAUUGCUUUGGCAGUACGCUGGCUUCUUAGAGGGACUAUCGGCUCAAGCCGAUGGAAGUUUGAGGCAAUAACAGGUCUGUGAUGCCCUUAGAUGUUCUGAGCCGCACGCGCGCUACACUGGACGGGAGCCAGCGGAGUACUUCCCUUGGCCGGAAGGCCCGGGGAAUCUGUUGAUGUGAUC
rnacentral:rRNA from 1 species